rnacentral:rRNA from 1 species
ACGAGCGGCGAACGGGUGAGUAACACGUGGGUGAUCUGCCUCGUACUUCGGGAUAAGCCUGGGAAACUGGGUCUAAUACCGGAUAUGACCUUCGGAUGCAUGUCCGUGGGUGGAAAGAUUUAUCGGUACGAGAUGGGCCCGCGGCCUAUCAGCUUGUUGGUGGGGUAAUGGCCUACCAAGGCGACGACGGGUAGCCGGCCUGAGAGGGCGACCGGCCACACUGGGACUGAGACACGGCCCAGACUCCUACGGGAGGCAGCAGUGGGGAAUAUUGCACAAUGGGCGGAAGCCUGAUGCAGCGACGCCGCGUGAGGGAUGACGGCCUUCGGGUUGUAAACCUCUUUCGACAGGGACGAAGCGCAAGUGACGGUACCUGUAGAAGAAGCACCGGCCAACUACGUGCCAGCAGCCGCGGUAAUACGUAGGGUGCGAGCGUUGUCCGGAAUUACUGGGCGUAAAGAGCUUGUAGGCGGUUCGUCGCGUCGUUCGUGAAAACUUGGGGCUCAACCCCAAGCUUGCGGGCGAUACGGGCGGACUAGAGUACUUCAGGGGAGACUGGAAUUCCUGGUGUAGCGGUGAAAUGCGCAGAUAUCAGGAGGAACACCGGUGGCGAAGGCGGGUCUCUGGGAAGUAACUGACGCUGAGAAGCGAAAGCGUGGGUAGCGAACAGGAUUAGAUACCCUGGUAGUCCACGCCGUAAACGGUGGGUACUAGGUGUGGGUUUCCUUCCACGGGAUCCGUGCCGUAGCUA